UACAGAGGUGGCAAGCGUUGUUCGGAAUUACUGGGCGUAAAGGGCGCGUAGGCGGCCAUCUAAGUCAGACGUGAAAUCCCCCGGCUUAACCUGGGAACUGCGUCUGAUACUGGAAGGCUUGAGUAUGGGAGAGGGAUGUAGAAUUCCAGGUGUAGCGGUGAAAUGCGUAGAUACCUGGAGGAAUACCGGUGGCGAAGGCGGCAUCCUGGACCAUUACUGACGCUCAUGCACGAAAGCGUGGGGAGCAAACAGG
rnacentral:rRNA from 1 species